ACCUGGCUGGCUCAGUCUGUAGAGCAUGUGGCUCUUGAUCUCAGGGUUGUGAGUUUGAGCCCCACACUGGGUG
rnacentral:tRNA from 1 species